AGAACGAACGCUGGCGGCAUGCCUAACACAUGCAAGUCGAACGAGACCUUCGGGUCUAGUGGCGCACGGGUGCGUAACGCGUGGGAAUCUGCCCUUAGGUACGGAAUAACAGUGAGAAAUUACUGCUAAUACCGUAUGAUGUCUUCGGACCAAAGAUUUAUCGCCUAGGGAUGAGCCCGCGUAGGAUUAGCUAGUUGGUGGGGUAAAGGCCUACCAAGGCGACGAUCCUUAGCUGGUCUGAGAGGAUGAUCAGCCACACUGGGACUGAGACACGGCCCAGACUCCUACGGGAGGCAGCAGUGGGGAAUAUUGGACAAUGGGCGAAAGCCUGAUCCAGCAAUGCCGCGUGAGUGAAGAAGGCCUUCGGGUUGUAAAGCUCUUUACCCGGGAAGAUAAUGACUGUACCGGGAGAAUAAGCCCCGGCUAACUCCGCGCCAGCAGCCGC
rnacentral:rRNA from 1 species